rnacentral:misc_RNA from 1 species
GAGACGGGUGCGCUCGUGGCUGCACGCCUCUUCUACCGCCGCUUCGGAUCUCUCGCAUCUUUCUUUCCAGUUUCAGCGACGUCUACUUGUGGAUUGCCUUUAUUUAUACACACACACAUAUAUAUAUAUAUAUAUAUAUAUAUAUAGUAGCCCUCUCCUCCUCUUCCACGACCGCUGCUAAGAGUUGCCCUUUGGCAACUCUCGCUCUUUCACCGCUUGUUUUUCGUUUUUGUCUCAUUUCCAUCCCUUCUCCCCACACACUAGUCGCUGUGCGUGUGCGUGCGGUUUACUCGCGGACGCACACAAAAAAGGGGGAGGGAGACAGCCUUCUCAUUAUUGCUCACAGGAGUUAGAAAGACGGUCAAGCACAAGCAGCAGCCAUGCCUGCGUGCCUGUGCCAUGCGUCAGUGUUUAGUCAAUCUCCGAUCUCUCUCUUCUCUUUUCCUUUUCAGCUGUACAAGACACGCACGCUCCACCUUACGCGGUACCGGCUGCUUGAAGGCGUUUCAGCGACUCUUUGGCUGCGUUGUUGAGCCUGCUGUUACCGUUACCGCUGCUACCAUUGCCCCCGCGACGAAGUUUCACGCCUCGCGACACGGCUUGAGUGCAUCGGUUGCGUCCUCGCCCGUUUCUUGUGUGGCUCGAUCGCCACGCUCGCACUUCUUCCGCACGGUUCAUUUUGGCGCCUGUGCGUGCUCCUCCAGUGCACGGCACACUAGCAUGAUGUCUGUGUCAACAUUGCAUCCUGGCGUGCUUGCUGCGGGCUCUGCAGGCAGGCCGAGUCCACCGCCGCCACCGCCGCAGCACGCGCGGCCACGGGUAGUGGUGCACAAUGUGGGCGAGGACGGUUGCGCAGGCGAGGGCGCCACCUCCGCCGCUGCCGGUGUGCCCAAGCGCCGCCACCGGUCCUUCAAGGAUGCGAUGGAGGUUGUCGAGAGGAUGACGGGGCGGCGGCCGAACAGGUGCCCAGACGGCUUCGAGACGACGAAGCGCUUUAUUGACCGACUCGGGUUUGCCCCCAUACUCGAGCGGAUUCGCUUUGUCCACGUUGCCGGCACGAAGGGCAAGGGGACCACCUCCGCGUACACUGCUGCCCUUCUGCAGGCGUACGGUUUCAAGGUGGGCCUCUUCACCUCCCCUCACCUCACAGACUUGCGAGAGCGGACAGUGAUAGACGGCCGGCUGCUGGACGAGAACACAUAUGCGCAGUACUUCUUCGAGUUCCUGGACAAGUACGAGGCGCUACAGUACUCAGACAGCCAACUAGACCGAGACAUCGCCUCACCGUCACGAGCAAACUUCUUUCGCUUUAUCUUUCUCCUUUCCUUGUACAUCUUCGAGCAGGAGGGCGUGGAGGUGGCGGUAAUGGAGGUGGGCAUCGGCGGCCGGAUCGACUCUACCAACACAAUCCCGUCCGAGGUGAGCAUCAUAACGUCCCUCGGCUACGACCACAUGGAGAUCUUGGGCAAUACCAUCCAGGAGAUCGCUUCGGAGAAGGCUGGUAUCAUGAAGUCAGGCGUGGUCUGCUUUGCAGCACCACAGACAGAUCAUCCAGAGACGCGCUUAGUACUGGAGAAGCACGCUCGAAAAGUUGGCGCGCCGCUUGUGCUGCUGGAUCAGAACGUGCUGCCGAUUCGCAGCUGGCCAAAGCUCGCUAUCGGUGGCGUACACGCCAUAGAGGACAGCAAGCUGGCACUGAUGGCGGCGCGAUGUGUUGCGAGUAUUCCCCCCAUCCUGCCACUGGACGAGGUGGAGAAGAGCGUGCUGCAGUCCAUGACCUACGCUGGCCGGUCACAGAUCGCUACGGUCGACGAUGGCGCAAACAUCACCUUCUACCUGGACGGUGCGCACACCGUUGAGAGUAUCUCCAGUGCUACGCAGUGGUUCCUGGACGUCAGCGCCGCCAACACCAGGGACCCGGCGCCGCGCCGCGUGCUCGUCUUCUACACCUCUCGCGAUCCAAAGCGUGUACUCAAAGCCUUCAUGCCUUUCGUGUCCCACUUCUGCAAGGUGGUCAUUGCGCAGGUGGCGAACCCGCGCAUGACGUCGCACUCGGCCGACCCCGGUGAUGUGGAGGGAAAGAUAAGUGAGCUGAGGGAGAGGAUGGUGACCACGACCCAACACUGGCGUAAUAUGUACCGUGAGGUGACCUGCCUCCCUUGCGCCCGCCCCUUUUCCGCGCUCGAGGACAUCCUUGACCUCGUUGUGCCGGCCGCCAGCGAUAACGAGGACGCCUCAAAGCCGGCGCAAGUGUUCGUGUGCGGCUCCUUCUUCCUGGUUGGCGACAUUGUGAAGCUGCUCAAGGUGUACGAGGCAGGUGGUCGCCGCCCCGAGUAGCCGUGAGACGUACCCCUUUGACGUGUCAUCUUUGCCUUGGUUCGAAUUCUCUUCCCCCAUGCUCAUGGCACACCGGGCGCUUGCGUGGUGAUGCUGGCUGUGUGUGGGUGGGUGAGGGCGGCGCGCGUGCCGCUCACUUUCCUCGCUGCUUUCCCUCCUUUACCUUGUGCCUGGGCGACAUCAGCAAAGUGUCCGCGGGCUGCCAGAGAAGACAAAGACGAGGAGGGUAACAUCCUGUCUUUCUUCUUGCUGAUGCCGACCUUUGUAGGCUAGAGUGCGGGUAUGUGUCUUUCUCUCUCUGUGUGCGUGUGUGCAGAGAGGAGGAUCAGGAGGGGAGGGCGACGCUGCCUAUUCUCAAGAGGCGAGGUCGUUGUUAUUCUUCUUUCUGGAGGUGACGGCUGCUGAUGAGUGAUUGCCCUCUCCGCUCCUCCCGUGGGACAGCAACCCGACUCAGUGGUGGUCGUGAUUCAUGGUGGAGGCGAGGAUGACUGUGUGUGUGUGCUGUGUGUUGUGUCAUGAACUCGCAGCACUCUUUCCCUUUUAUGCCCCUUCAGUGCAACGCACCCUUUUCCUCUGUGCGACAGUCAGCUUUCUCUAUGCGUGUAUAUGUACACCUCGGAGGCUGAGGGAAGGGAGGGAGGGGUGGAGUCAUGCUUUAUGCCCCUGCUCCGCCUUCAUCUGCUUCUUUCCAUCCUAUGUGUGCGCGGAAACGUGCACAUCAG